UGGACUAAAAUUUAACAGAUGGCUGCAAAAAGUAACCUUUUUUGCAACACAGAACUCAUUGUUUGGUAUGAGUUUUGAUAUAAGAAGGAAUAUU
rnacentral:snoRNA from 1 species